rnacentral:misc_RNA from 1 species
ACACGAUAUAUCACAUAACCCUGGCAGGUAUAUCAGUCAGGGCAAGUGUAUCAGUCAAGUCAUAAAUAAUAAUAAGAAUAGAACCAAAAAGCAAAAUUGCACUGCCAUAUCUAUUAUCAUAGCAAAUAACACUAACUUUUAAAUUGAAUAGAAAAGAAAAAUUCCAAUUUCAAUUGAUAUAUCACAAGCAUUCAUUUCAUAGAUUAAACAAAUUAGCUAUUCAGCAAAUUAGAUUAAUUUGAAGUAAAAUGAUUAGAGGAUCAGUCACCCCUACGUGAUGCACACAGACACAGUUGCAACACGACAACUAUCAUCUCAA